AUUGAACGCUGGCGGCAUGCCUUACACAUGCAAGUCGAACGGCAGCACGGGUGCUUGCCCCUGGUGGCGAGUGGCGAACGGGUGAGUAAUACAUCGGAACAUGUCCUGUAGUGGGGGAUAGCCCGGCGAAAGCCGGAUUAAUACCGCAUACGAUCUACGGAUGAAAGUGGGGGACGUUCGGGCCUCGCGCUAUAGGGUUGGCCGAUGGCUGAUUAGCUAGUGGGUGGGGUAAAGGCCUACCAAGGCGACGAUCAGUAGCUGGUCUGAGAGGACGACCAGCCACACUGGGACUGAGACUCGGCCCAGACUCCUACGGGAGGCAGCAGUGGGGAAUUUUGGACAAAGGGCGAAAGCCUGAUCCAGCAAUGCCGCGUGUGUGAAGAAGGCCUUCGGGUUGUAAAGCACUUUUGUCCGGAAAGAAAUCCUUGGCCCUAAUACGGUCGGGGGAUGACGGUACCGGAAGAAUAAGCACCGGCUAACUACGUG
rnacentral:rRNA from 1 species